rnacentral:lncRNA from 1 species
AAACCGAGACAGUACCCACUGCCAGCAGCAGAUGGGAAGUCUAAACAGGAGAGACUGAAUAAAGCUGACAACUGAGGCAGGAUAAAGAAGAGAAGGAACAAAGAAGGAGGGGGCAGGAAAAGAAGCCAAGCAGAACAUGCUAGCCUGUCGAUUUUGUCUUCCAUUAAGGCUUCAGCAGAAGAUAAGAAAAGCUAAGCCACGUCAGUGAAGGGAGGACAGCAGGAAGGCUUUCAGGGGAAGAUUUGUGGUGUGGAUUCACUCGGCAUUGAUGAGAGCAGCUCCCCAGACAGAUACCGAGAAUGAAAAACCAAACCAGUGACCAGGAAGAGAAGAUAUGAAGAAAAAUAUAAAAUACAAGACAGCUCUCUGCAAACCAAAAAGAAAGCCCUCACCAGACUGGAUCUGCCAGCACCUUGAUCUUGGACUUCUCAACCUCCAGAACUGUGAGAAAUAAAUCUCUGUUUUCUAAGUCACCCAGUCUAUUGUAUUUUUUAUAGCAGCC